UACAGAGGGGGCAAGCGUUGUUCGGAAUUACUGGGCGUAAAGGGCGCGUAGGCGGCCCGCUAAGUCGAACGUGAAAUCCCUGGGCUCAACCCAGGAACUGCGUCCGAUACUGGCAGGCUUGAAUCCGGGAGAGGGAUGCGGAAUUCCAGGUGUAGCGGUGAAAUGCGUAGAUAUCCGGAGGAACACCGGUGGCGAAGGCGGCAUCCUGGACCGGCAUUAACGCUGAGGAGCGAAAGCCAGGGGAGCAAACGGG
rnacentral:rRNA from 1 species